UCUCCCACUCCUCCAUAUAUCUCAUCCAUCAUGGGGCCGUCCAGUCUCUGCAUUACACUCACACCAAGAGUCGGGGAAAUUCUUGUUAUUCACACUUGCUACCCCUCAGAUAUGGGGGUAUUUAAGGCUUUAGCGUAGGAUCCAUAUGAGAAUAGAAAAUGGGAAUAUCACUAGUAGAUCCCUCAAUGAAUUAUAGAGGAACAAUAGAUACAAUAUAUCUAUUAAUCAUAUAUACAAAUGAGUACAGAGUAUCUGUAGGUGUAGAGUAUCCUCCUCCCCUCCCAUUGCAUCAUUCUUUCCACUUGUUUGGUUUGUUUUUGUUGUGCUUUCGAUGUUACACAAAAUCUAAUUGACGUUUCCUUUUUAUCCUACAGCCACCAAGCCACCACCAAGCAGCAGAGCACCCACUCCCCUCUCCAGACGGACAUUCCCCCACGCCCCAUACAUAUAAACGAAAUUUUGCUUCGUUUUUGUUCUCCAAAAUACAUUCAUACUUUUACGAGUACGAGUAUUCACGGAUUUACGGAAUUGUUACACUUUUAGCCUUGAACUAAGUUGGGAGGGGGCUCUAUUGCUCAGAGAUAUGGAUUAUUGCCAGGCAUUGAAGGUGCAAGAAAGAGAGUCUAGGAUUGAUCUUACCCUCAAGGAUCUGUUAGUUUUGGAUUAACUGUGACCAAAAGGCAUAUCAACGGAAUUCCAAGGGUGUCUACUCCAGACUUUUAUGAUAUUUAUCCUGUCGAUACGAUACGAAUAGAGCACAACAAUAUCUCAUCUAUACAUUCAUUUAUUCAGCUUUUUGAAGGCCACACAGUAACCUAGAACCCUCGUAGAACUGCGAAAUUCAUUGAUCUUUCCCAAUAAUUUCCAUUCAAACAAAACUGUAUUUGGCAAAUGUGUAUAGUAUUUUUCAUUCGUUUAUUUUUGUUUAUCUAAAAAUAUUCGCGAAAUCAAAUAACAAGAAAUAGGACACAAUACGGUAAACAAUUCGUUCAUCAUUGUUUAAAUACUUAAAAUAUACAAAUUUUAAAAAUGUUAUAGACGGCUGUUGAUCAGUUUUACUUUUCCUUGUGUUAAAAUUAAAUUUUCUUUAAAAUAGUAAAUAAUAGAUGUGUGUUUUAAAAUCGGGCAACUGCUCGGGAAACCCCAUCAAUGGACAUUCCGAAUGGCAGGACAUUAUCUGUUGAGUGCUGGAUUUUUUAAACUAUCUUUAAACGAUAUUCCAUGGACCGUAUUAUAACUUAUAAUUCCUUCAGUUCUAUUCGGUUAAAAUCUAUUUUGCUAUCCCACCCAAACGACUCCAGAUAAAAGGCCACGAGCAGUUGCGAAUAUAUAUGGACACCGACACCACUGGUUGACUGCUAUGCUAAUUCUGUUUUGCAGUUUCGAAAACAAUAAA